ensembl:lncRNA
GUGUGAUUUUAGGCUGGAUUUUUAUAUCAGACAGACUGGACUCAAAGAUUAACUCUGGUAAAAUUUACUGUGUGAUCUUGGCCAAAGUAAGUAACCUCUCUCAGCACCAACUUCUUCACAUCUAAAGUGGGAAUACCCUCAUCACAGCUGACUUGGAACCUUGGUGUGAAGAUGGAACAAGGCAGAGAAUGUGAAGUUGCUGCAUCUGAGGAUAAAGGAGAGGAUUAAGAUGUUAGCAACUGUGAAACAGAAGGGAGAAGACAGGAAGGAGACUUUAUUAAGGAUGAAAAAUGGCUGCGAUUUUGAAAACAGUCUUGUUGACAGAAUCAGGCCCCAAAGGUUUCCAUCUGAAAGGAGGAAAGAAUCAUAAUUGGAUUUACUAACUGCCGGAAAGGAAGGACUGUGCAGCUUACAGCAAGGGGGAUCUUCAUUCCCCAACCAGGGAUCGAACCCAUGCCCCCUGCAUUGGAAGUGUGGAAUCUUAACCACUGGGCUACCAGGAAAGUCCUGUAA